ACCAAGGAGUCUAACAUGUGCGCGAGCCGCGGGGCAGUACGAAACCCGUAAGGCGAAAUGAAGGUGAACGCCGGCGCGGUCCGGCGGAGGUUGGAUCCCGUCCCGUCGGGGCGGGCGCACUACCGGCCGAUCUUCUCCGCCCUGUCGGCGAGGUCGAGCGAGAGCGUGCAAGUCGGGACCCGAAAGAUGGUGAACUAUGCCUGAGGAGGUUGAAGCCAGAGGAAACUCUGGUGGAGGACCGUAGCGAUUCUGACGUGCAAAUCGAUCGUCAAAUUUGGGUAUAGGGGCGAAAGACUAAUCGAACCGUCUAGUAGCUGGUUCCCUUCGAAGUUUCCCUCAGGAUAGCUGGCGCUCUGUCGCAGUUUUAUCUGGUAAAGCGAAUGAUUAGAGGUCUUGGGGGCGAAACGCCCUCAACCUAUUCUCAAACUUUAAAUUGGUAAGAAGCCCGACUCGGCUCGUUUGGAGCCGGGCAUGGAAUGCGAGUGCCAAGUGGGCCACUCUUGGUAAGCAGGACUGGCGAUGCGGGAUGAACCGAACGCCGGGUUAAGGCGCCCGACGCGACGCUCAUCAGAGCCCACAAAAGGUGUUGGUUGAUAUAGACAGCAGGACGGUGGCCAUGGAAGUCGGAAACCGCUAAGGAGUGUGUAACAACUCACCUGCCGAAUCAAUCAGCCCUGAAAAUGGAUGGCGCUGGAGCGUCGGGCCUAUACCCGGCCGUCGCGGCGGUACGAGCAUCGAGUUGGUGCGCUAGGCCGCGACGAGUAGGAGGGCCGCGGCGGCGGGCGUAGAAGCCUAGGGCGCGAGCCCGGGUGGAGCAGCCGUCGGUGCAGAUUUUGGUGGUAGUAGCAAAUAUUCAAAUGAGAACUUUGAAGGCCGAA
rnacentral:ncRNA from 1 species